rnacentral:lncRNA from 1 species
CAUUCUUGUUCUCUUAACAGUCACAUCGGAUCUCAAAUUAAAAUUAUAUCAAGACAUUGUUUGAUUCACUCUCCAUUUCCAUCAGACACAGAAAUCACCAGUUCUGCCCAACCCCUGGUUCCUUGCGACUGCUGCCUUGCGAGCUCCGGGCCCCACUCUAGCGGCCACAGGACGCAGUGGAGCGGCAGAAGCGCGUUCGGCUUCCCGGGCGCAAGGCUCGGGCACGGCAGCGAGCGUGCCCCUUGCAAGCUGCUGAUCGAGCGGCCCAGGGCGCUGGCGGCUCUCGCUCCUUCCCGACGCUCGCAAGCCAGCAGCCGCCGCCGGGAACACGGCCGCCCCGUGCCUGGCGCGCUCCAACUCCUGCUCGCCUCCGGUGACCCGGGACAAACUUCUGGCUGGGGCGCGGUCGCGGUCCCUGAGGCCAGCGUGGGAAACCCGAGGCGCUGCCGGGGCGAGCUAGGGUCCAGGGUGGCGCCCCGGGCGGUUGCUCCUGCCCGCUGGGUCGCGCCCGCAUCUUGGCGGUGGCCGCCCCACGGAGCCCGCAGGCGCCGCGCAGGCCGAGCUGGCCCCGGGCCGGGGACACGGGCGCUCGCGCCCUCUAGCGGGCCGCGGCGGCUCCGGCCCGGCCGUGACGUGGGCUCCUUCCAGCCGGCCUGCGGGGCACCGCCAGUCAGUCGCGGAGCAGGAGCCCCGCGCGCAGCCGGCGUGGGCUCGGCCUUCGGCGCGCCGCCGCCCGAGGUGGCUGGGUCUGCGGGAGCAGAGGAGGCGGGCUGCAAGCGCGCGAUCGCGGCCACGGCCACGGCCACGGCGCCGCGGGCGGCUCGGUCCCGAGCAGGGGCAGCGCUUCGGCGGGCGCAGCGCCGGAUCCCAGCGAGGAUUUGGGCUCGGCGGACGCGCCCUCCGCUCCCUCUCCCAGCGGCGCCAGACUCCAAGCGGGGGCCAGAGGGAGGGCAGGAGGACCCAGAACACGGUCCCCAGGCCCCGGAACCGCGGGACUUCGGACUUGUGCAACUGUUGCCACUUUGGGAUCGGGUGUUUCGCUGCUGGAGCGACUACCCUGGCAGCCUGCGGUGUAGGCUCGCGUCCCCCUCGGCUUCCCGCGUCUAG